GUUAUAUGGUCAAGUGAAGAAGCGCAUACGGUGGAUGCCUUGGCAGUCAGAGGCGAUGAAAGACGUGGUAGCCUGCGAAAAGCUUCGGGGAGUCGGCAAACAGACUUUGAUCCGGAGAUCUCUGAAUGGGGGAACCCACCUAGGAUAACCUAGGUAUCUUGUACUGAAUCCAUAGGUGCAAGAGGCGAACCAGGGGAACUGAAACAUCUAAGUACCCUGAGGAAAAGAAAUCAACCGAGAUUCCCUUAGUAGUGGCGAGCGAACGGGGAUUAGCCCUUAAGCUUCAUUGAUUUUAGCGGAACGCUCUGGAAAGUGCGGCCAUAGUGGGUGAUAGCCCCGUACGCGAAAGGAUCUUUGAAGUGAAAUCGAGUAGGACGGAGCACGAGAAACUUUGUCUGAACAUGGGGGGACCAUCCUCCAAGGCUAAAUACUACUGACUGACCGAUAGUGAACCAGUACCGUGAGGGAAAGGCGAAAAGAACCCCGGAGAGGGGAGUGAAAUAGAACCUGAAACCGUAUGCGUACAAGCAGUGGGAGCCUACUUGUUAGGUGACUGCGUACCUUUUGUAUAAUGGGUCAGCGACUUAUAUUCAGUGGCAAGCUUAACCGUAUAGGGUAGGCGUAGCGAAAGCGAGUCUUAAUAGGGCGUUUAGUCGCUGGGUAUAGACCCGAAACCGGGCGAUCUAUCCAUGAGCAGGUUGAAGGUUAGGUAACACUGACUGGAGGACCGAACCCACUCCCGUUGAAAAGGUAGGGGAUGACUUGUGGAUCGGAGUGAAAGGCUAAUCAAGCUCGGAGAUAGCUGGUUCUCCUCGAAAGCUAUUUAGGUAGCGCCUCAUGUAUCACUCUGGGGGGUAGAGCACUGUUUCGGCUAGGGGGUCAUCCCGACUUACCAAACCGAUGCAAACUCCGAAUACCCAGAAGUGCCGAGCAUGGGAGACACACGGCGGGUGCUAACGUCCGUCGUGAAAAGGGAAACAACCCAGACCGCCAGCUAAGGUCCCAAAGUUGUGGUUAAGUGGUAAACGAUGUGGGAAGGCUUAGACACGGAGAAGGCUAGGCCAGCUUGGCGUUGGUUGUCCAAGUUUAAGGUGGUAGGCUGAAAUCUUAGGUAAAUCCGGGGUUUCAAGGCCGAGAGCUGAUGACGAGUCGUCUUUUAGAUGACGAAGUGGUUGAUGCCAUGCUUCCAAGAAAAGCUUCUAAGCUUCAGGUAACCAGGAACCGUACCCCAAACCGACACAGGUGGUCGGGUAGAGAAUACCAAGGCGCUUGAGAGAACUCGGGUGAAGGAACUAGGCAAAAUGGCACCGUAACUUCGGGAGAAGGUGCGCCGGCUAGGGUGAAGGAUUUACUCCGUAAGCUCUGGCUGGUCGAAGAUACCAGGCCGCUGCGACUGUUUAUUAAAAACACAGCACUCUGCAAACACGAAAGUGGACGUAUAGGGUGUGACGCCUGCCCGGUGCCGGAAGGUUAAUUGAUGGGGUUAGCGCAAGCGAAGCUCUUGAUCGAAGCCCCGGUAAACGGCGGCCGUAACUAUAACGGUCCUAAGGUAGCGAAAUUCCUUGUCGGGUAAGUUCCGACCUGCACGAAUGGCGUAACGAUGGCGGCGCUGUCUCCACCCGAGACUCAGUGAAAUUGAAAUCGCUGUGAAGAUGCAGUGUAUCCGCGGCUAGACGGAAAGACCCCGUGAACCUUUACUGUAGCUUUGCACUGGACUUUGAGCCUGCUUGUGUAGGAUAGGUGGGAGGCUUUGAAGCGUGGACGCCAGUUCGCGUGGAGCCAUCCUUGAAAUACCACCCUGGCAUGCUUGAGGUUCUAACUCUGGUCCGUGAUCCGGAUCGAGGACAGUGUAUGGUGGGCAGUUUGACUGGGGCGGUCUCCUCCUAAAGAGUAACGGAGGAGUACGAAGGUGCGCUCAGACCGGUCGGAAAUCGGUCGCAGAGUAUAAAGGCAAAAGCGCGCUUGACUGCGAGACAGACACGUCGAGCAGGUACGAAAGUAGGUCUUAGUGAUCCGGUGGUUCUGUAUGGAAGGGCCAUCGCUCAACGGAUAAAAGGUACUCCGGGGAUAACAGGCUGAUACCGCCCAAGAGUUCAUAUCGACGGCGGUGUUUGGCACCUCGAUGUCGGCUCAUCACAUCCUGGGGCUGAAGCCGGUCCCAAGGGUAUGGCUGUUCGCCAUUUAAAGUGGUACGCGAGCUGGGUUUAGAACGUCGUGAGACAGUUCGGUCUCUAUCUGCCGUGGACGUUUGAGAUUUGAGAGGGGCUGCUCCUAGUACGAGAGGACCGGAGUGGACGAACCUCUGGUGUUCCGGUUGUCACGCCAGUGGCAUUGCCGGGUAGCUAUGUUCGGAAAAGAUAACCGCUGAAAGCAUCUAAGCGGGAAACUUGCCUCAAGAUGAGAUCUCACUGGGAACUUGAUUCCCCUGAAGGGCCGUCGAAGACUACGACGUUGAUAGGCUGGGUGUGUAAGCGUUGUGAGGCGUUGAGCUAACCAGUACUAAUUGCCCGUGAGGCUUGACCAUAUAACACCCAAACA
rnacentral:rRNA from 1 species